rnacentral:rRNA from 1 species
CCUACGGGGGGCUGCAGUGGGGAAUAUUGGACAAUGGGGGCAACCCUGAUCCAGCCAUGCCGCGUGUGUGAAGAAGGCCCUCGGGUUGUAAAGCACUUUCAGUGAGGAAGAACGCCUGGUGGUUAAUACCCAUCAGGAAAGACAUCACUCACAGAAGAAGCACCGGCUAACUCCGUGCCAGCAGCCGCGGUAAUACGGAGGGUGCGAGCGUUAAUCGGAAUUACUGGGCGUAAAGCGCGCGUAGGUGGCUUGAUAAGCCGGUUGUGAAAGCCCCGGGCUCAACCUGGGAACGGCAUCCGGAACUGUCAAGCUAGAGUGCAGGAGAGGAAGGUAGAAUUCCCGGUGUAGCGGUGAAAUGCGUAGAGAUCGGGAGGAAUACCAGUGGCGAAGGCGGCCUUCUGGACUGACACUGACACUGAGGUGCGAAAGCGUGGGUAGCAAACAGGAUUAGAUACACUUGUAGUC